UUCCGUUUAGCUCGUCGCCGCGUCUCCAUUCUGCUCGCUGAAGUCAAGAAAUCCAGGAGAUGGCUCGUGUGCCAAUGGUUGACAGGAUUGCUCCACCAGAACUUACCCAGCUUAUUGGAUAGAAGUACAAGCUCCUUGUGUCCAUUGCAAGCAGAAGCUUUAAUGUCAACAGUGAGCAGUUGUCGUUCCAAGUUGUGAGGAUUAUAGAGACCUACAAACCCGAGUUAAGCUCGUCCGUGUUUGACUAUGUCCCAGGGACGGCUGGAGCAUCAGCGCCUACUUCACUGGUUGGCAGUCCAGUGUCUUCUGGGAUGUUUACACCAAACACACUAAACAUCUAUAAUGCACAGCCUGGUAGCUCAUCAGGCAGCCUUACUAUAGGCUAUAAAACAUCUACAGCCGAGGCACGCACACCCACUUCAAAGCUCAGUGCUGCCCUUCUUCCAGCUACACCCCCAGGAAAAUCACCAUGCCCAAGCGGCGUGUUUUGUUUCUUGGUACUGAUAAGCAAACUACUGCACUGGAAGAACCUCUGAAGAAGCCUGCCGAGGCUGACAAGGUGCAUGAGAGCAAACAUGACGAUCCAGCUGAACCUUCUUCACCUGCUGUUGAAGAAAAGAAUGACAAAGAUGACCAGACUCUGAUGAUCAAGA